UUAGGUGUACAAGUGCUGGUGUUAGGUGUACAAGUGCUGGUGUUAGGUGUACAAGUGCUGGUGUGAGGUGUACAAGUGCUGGUGUGAGGUGUGCAAGUGCUGGAGAGGUGUACAAGUGCUGGAGAGAUGUACAAGUGCUGGAGAGGUGUACAAGUGCUGGUGUGAGGUGUGCAAGUGCUGGUGUGAGGUGUACAAGUGCUGGGGAGGUGUACAAGUGCUGGAGAGGUGUACAAGUUCUGGUGUGAGGUGUACAAGUGCUGGUGUGAGGUGUGCAAGU